rnacentral:rRNA from 1 species
CUUGUUGGUGGGUGAUGGCCUACCAAGGCGGUGACGGGUAGCCGGCCUGAGAGGGUGGACGGUCACACUGGGACUGAGACACGGCCCAGACUCCUGCGGGAGGCAGCAGUGGGGGAUUUUGCACAAUGGGCGCAAGCCUGAUGCAGCGACGCCGCGUGAGGGAUGGAGGCCUUCGGGUUGUGAACCUCUGUCGCCGGUGAUGUAGGCCAUCACCCCACCAACAAG